CCUCAGUAUGUUGCCUUAGCCAGGCUGGCCUUGAACUCCUGGGCUUGAGGGAUCCUCCCACCACAGUCUCCUGAGUACCAAGACUACAGGCAUGCACUACUAUGGGAGCUCAAAUGCAAGUAUAAAAUAAAAAACAGCAAGAGACAAGACUAUGGAUGGAAUGUCUUCUCCCUGUGAGCCAAGGCCAGCACACAGGCUGUAAGAACAUACAGGUUCAUGAACACUUGGACCUGGGAUGACACUCUCCAAAACAGGUGCCCACACCACGCUGCUGACAACAAAGAUUUUGGAAGUUUAAAGAAUGAAGAGGCCCAAAGAAUAGGUUUAACCAAGGAAUCAAAAUCAAAACAGUGAACGUCCUAUUCAAGUAACUGAGAAAUCACAUCUACUCUUACAAGCCACUGAGAAGCCGAGGUGUUUUCUCUGCCCACAUACCCUCCUCUAGGAUACGUGAGACCAUAUCCUUGACUCCUAAAUUCUUUUUCAAAAAUAGUGGUAGAGGAAUGUAUGUGUUUGCUUAGAUCAGCACAAACCUGGGGGAUGCACAGGAAACUAACAACACAUUCGCUUAUAGAGGGGCAGUGAGGGAAUUGGAUUGAUGAGCACAGGCUUCUCAACACACUUUUAUAUUUUUGUGUUAUAUUAUGUGAAUGUAUUGCCUAUCUUUAGAAUUAAAAAUGUUCCUCAAAAUUUCUCUCUUUCUAUGACACCUUUAUAUAACAAGCCUAGGCCUGGGUUGAGUGGAUUGAAGCACAGUUGCAUUAACCAAGUAAAAAUAAGAAGAAGACGCCGA